rnacentral:lncRNA from 1 species
UUUCCCGCCCCAGUCAUUGGGUGCAUAUCAAGGAACUUCCAGCUCUUUCUGUUUCCAUACUCACUAACUUGACAUUGUUUCUUGUCAAGAAACUGAACUCAGCACACUUUUGCUGGCUGUGCAUCUCCGACAUCCGGCUGUAGUGAAACAAAAAGAAGAUCAGAUGGGUUCAUUGCAAGCACCGGUGAGGAGAAGCUCAGUGCUUCCUGAAACAUCAUGUGGAUAUCUGCUUCAAGAACUACAGGCAAGGUUUUCAACUAUGAGAUAAACUUAAUGUUUUUGAGUAUUUCUCAUUUUGGUACCUUUGUUCUUGGUUGCAAUGAAACAGAUGAUUUGGAAUGAAAUUGGACAAGGUCAGUUUGAAAGGGAGAAGGUACUGCUGGAUUUGGAGCAGGAAUGUCUGGAGGUUUAUAGGAGGAAGGUUGAUGCUGCUAAUACCUCGAGAGCUCGUCUGCACCAGGAGUUGGCAGAAGCUGAGGCUGAAUUUACUCAUCUUCUUUUGUCACUUGGCGAACGGUCUCUCCCCGGACGGGUAACCCUACUUAUCAAAACCCUGUCAACUCAGUAUAUUAGUGUGACCAGAUAUAACAGCAUGCAAGUUAAAUUAGACCCAAACACAUAUGUGCAUAGCAAUUUUGCUAAAUUAUAAAUACAAUAGCUAGAUAAUUCAAAAUUCAAUUCACAACUUCAUGAUUUCUCCUUGUCCAAGAAUGCCAGAUUGGUCUAGCUAAGCCUGUGUGUUUAGCCUCACACUAGGGGUUAACUAGAGUGAUCAUGAGAUCUAGAAGUCUUGACUAAAUGUGAAAAAUCUUACUUGAAGGAACUAAUGCUUGUAUUAUCUCAUCAGCCAGAAAAAAUGGUGGGAACACUGAAAGAGCAGCUAGAUUCCAUCACCCCAGCUCUGCGAGAAAUGAGACUGAGGAAAGAAGAUAGGGUGAAUAAGUUCCGAGCUGUGCAAGGGCAAAUUCAGAAGAUCUCUGCAGAAAUAGCAGGGCAGUCAGAGUAUGAAAAGUCAUCAUCAGAUGUCAGGGUGAAUGAGAACGAUCUUUCACUGAAGAAACUAGAGGAGUAUCAGACAGAGCUACAAAGACUCCACAAUGACAGGGUACUACAACUAUAGUUCAGAUACUGUAUUCUUGACAAUGAAUAGAACAUUUUUCUGAUUUAUUCUCGACAAUAAAUUCAAAUCUCCUUUCAAGCUUUCUGUUCAUCUUGCAGAAUGAGAGGCUCAAGCGGGUGGAAAAAUUUAUAAAUUCCAUCCAAAAGUUGUCUUCAAUAUUAGGAACAGACUCCUCUAUGGUCAUCACCAAGGUUCACCCAAGCUUGAAUGAAUUGUGUGGGAUAGCCAAGAACAUAAGCAACAGUAUUUUGGCUAAACUCAACAGCACAGUGGAAUCCCUAGAAGAAGAAAAGCAAAAGCGACUUGAAAAGGUAAUGGUUUGCCUAUAGUUGUAUCAUUAUUCAUUUCAGCAAAAUUAAUUGGCAAGGUCUGCCACCUGUUUUCUGCAGACUGAUACGUGGUGAUAGAACACAAAAUUUGACUUAAAAUAGAUUAAUAACCUAAAUCAUGGUAAACUCAAGCAUGAAUUUUGUGAUUUGGGUAACAUCAGUUCCUGUGGGUCAUUUGUUUUCCCUGUCUUCCAUUUUCUAGUCAUUUUUCAAGAUACUCCCCUCCUGGAAUUCUUCAAGAUGCAAAUUCAUUAUAAAUAAAGCAUCAGCAUGAUAUAUUUCUGGAUAUACUUUUUUCAGCUUCACCAUCUUGGUAAAGCAUUGACAAACUUAUGGAAUUUCAUGGACACGCCCUAUAAAGAUCGUCAUCUGUUUUUCCAUGUUACCGGCUUAUUAUCAGUUUCAUCAGCAGAAGUAUCAGAUCCAGGAAGCUUAACCCAAAAAAUAAUCCAGCAGGUAAGUAUAAGAUUUUGAUGACAACUAAAUGUAUCAGAAAAUAGAAAUAACAAUGUUCACAUUUGUUUAAAGGCUGAGACUGAAGUCAAGAGACUGGAUCAAUUAAAAGUAAGUAAGACGAAAGAACUAUUUCUCAAGAAACAGAAUGAGCUCAAGGAGAUAUGCAAUAAAUCACACAUGGAGAUUCCUGUGCACGCAAAGAUGGAUAAUAUAAUUAACCUGCUGAACUCUGGUGAGAUUCAUUGAUAUGUGCCUUAGUCUAAGAAUAAAGAAUGUCAUUGCUUAAAGAUGAUGCAGUUCACAAACUGACAUACGAACAACAGGGGAAAUUGACCAUGCAGAUCUUGUUAUGAGCAUGGAUCAACAGAUAUCAAGAGCAGAAGAUGAAGCUUGUAGCAGAAAGACAAUUAUGGAAAAAGUGGAAAAGUGGAUGCUAGCAUGUGAUGAAGAGCGCUGGUUGGAAGAAUAUGGAAGAGUCAGUUUUUUACUUGCACAUUAAUUUAACUUUAUCAGUAACACACUCAAAAAAAUAUCUCAAGUUUCCUAAUCCAAGUACCCUUUCAGGAUGAAAAUCGAUACUCAGUCAGAAGAGGUGCACACAAGAACCUCAGACGUGCAGAACGUGCUCGAGUAUUAGUCAGCAAAAUUCCAGGUAAUAUUGAGAACCUGUAUGCAUUCGUUCCCAACAGUAAGGACUGUCAUAUGUAAGAGGUACACCAAUCAAACCUUAUAACAAGUACCAGAAAAUGCUGUCUUAUGGAUAUAAAGAUAUCACUCCUGGAUGAGUUAUCCUAAUAGAAAUUAACCAAAGAAAAUGAAGAUUUAAAUGUACGUACAUUGACAUCAGAUGAU